UGAAUAUGCUACCUUGGUGCUAUCCAGAUGGUUACGGAUAUGCAUGAGCCAUAAUGGAUUGCUUUGUCUCUCAUCUCAGUACUUCCUUUUCUUCUACCCUAAAAUGUGAGGUGGUGUUGUCAUGACUACUAAAAAGUGAACUAGACUCACUUUGGCAGCCUUUGUUCCUGGGGAGAGUCAGAUCUAAAAAUUGCUGAUGGGGGAUACUUAGCAAUGCUGUUCCCACGACAACCCACGUCCAGUUCUCGCCACUUGUGUUUGCAGCAAGGAACGUUUCAGCGAACACGUGCAUCUCUGAUGUGAUAGUCAGUCUUCCCUCGUGUCCGAGGGAACUCGUGCAAGUUCUCACAGAGGCUGAUCAUGUGGCCACACUUGUGUAAAUUUUCAUGGGGACAAUAAAGGCGGAUCCCAGGGUGCCCCCCUGCCAAAUUCCAAGUCCCUGUUCUAAAGCAUGGAGAUGUUAGAGGUUCU